rnacentral:rRNA from 1 species
CCUACGGGAGGCUGCAGUGGGGAAUAUUGGACAAUGGGGGGAACCCUGAUCCAGCCAUGCCGCGUGUGUGAAGAAGGCCCUCGGGUUGUAAAGCACUUUCAGUGAGGAAGAACGCCUGGUGGUUAAUACCCAUCAGGAAAGACAUCACUCACAGAAGAAGCACCGGCUAACUCCGUGCCAGCAGCCGCGGUAAUACGGAGGGUGCGAGCGUUAAUCGGAAUUACUGGGCGUAAAGCGCGCGUAGGUGGCUUGAUAAGCCGGUUGUGAAAGCCCCGGGCUCAACCUGGGAACGGCAUCCGGAACUGUCAAGCUAGAGUGCAGGAGAGGAAGGUAGAACUCCCGGUGUAGCGGUGAAAUGCGUAGAGAUCGGGAGGAAUACCAGUGGCGAAGGCGGCCUUCUGGACUGACACUGACACUGAGGUGCGAAAGCGUGGGUAGCAAACAGGAUUAGAUACCCCAGUAGUC